rnacentral:rRNA from 1 species
UACAGAGGUGGCAAGCGUUGUUCGGAAUUACUGGGCGUAAAGGGCGCGUAGGCGGCCUACUAAGUCAGACGUGAAAUCCCCCGGCUUAACCUGGGAACUGCGUCUGAUACUGGAAGGCUUGAGUAUGGGAGAGGGAUGUAGAAUUCCAGGUGUAGCGGUGAAAUGCGUAGAUAUCUGGAGGAAUACCGGUGGCGAAGGCGACACACUGGCCCGUUACUGACGCUGAGGCGCGAAAGCGUGGGGAGCAAACAGG